rnacentral:rRNA from 1 species
CCGGCGCACGGGUGCGUAACGCGUAUGCAAUCUACCUUUCACAGAGGGAUAGCCCAGAGAAAUUUGGAUUAAUACCUCAUAGUAUGCAGAGUUGGCAUCAACACUGCAUUAAAGUCACAACGGUGAAAGAUGAGCAUGCGUCCCAUUAGCUAGUUGGUAAGGUAACGGCUUACCAAGGCUACGAUGGGUAGGGGUCCUGAGAGGGAGAUCCCCCACACUGGUACUGAGACACGGACCAGACUCCUACGGGAGGCAGCAGUGAGGAAUAUUGGACAAUGGGCGCAAGCCUGAUCCAGCCAUGCCGCGUGCAGGAUGACGGUCCUAUGGAUUGUAAACUGCUUUUGCACAGGAAGAAACAACUCUACGUGUAGAGUCUUGACGGUACUGUGAGAAUAAGGAUCGGCUAACUCCGUGCCAGCAGCCGCGGUAAUACGGAGGAUCCAAGCGUUAUCCGGAAUCAUUGGGUUUAAAGGGUCCGUAGGCGGUUUAGUAAGUCAGUGGUGAAAGCCCAUCGCUCAACGGUGGAACGGCCAUUGAUACUGCUAGACUUGAAUUAUUAGGAAGUAACUACAAUAUGUAGUGUAGCGGUGAA